rnacentral:snRNA from 1 species
AUCGUUUCUUGGCCUUUUGGCUAAGAUCAAAUGAAGUAUCUGUUCUUAUCAGUUUAAAACUGGAAGGAAAAAAAAAAACUGGAAGAGCACAGGCAGGGUGGAUAGAGCACAAAACUAAC